UUAAAUUGAAGAGUUUGAUCAUGGCUCAGAUUGAACGCUGGCGGCAGGCCUAACACAUGCAAGUCGAACGGUAACAGGAAGCAGCUUGCUGCUUCGCUGACGAGUGGCGGACGGGUGAGUAAUGUCUGGGAAACUGCCUGAUGGAGGGGGAUAACUACUGGAAACGGUGGCUAAUACCGCAUAAUGUCGCAAGACCAAAGAGGGGGACCUUCGGGCCUCUUG
rnacentral:rRNA from 1 species